AACAGAGUGGUCCAGGUAGUUUAGUGUAGGGGCUCAGGGAAGCGGGACUGUAGCUGAAACCUGAAGGGGAAGUAGGAGUUGGUGGGGAGAAGCAGAGGGGUGGGUGGUGAGGAAGAGGCCCCUGGAAGAGGACUCUGCGUGUGCAAAGGUCCUGUGGCAGAAAGUGCCCAGCACUAUUACAUAGAGAAGAAGGCAUGGCUGGAGCAUGAUGGUGAGAUGAGGUUAGAGUAAGCAAGGUCAGGCGCAGCAGCCUAGAGGGGUUUGGGUUUGAUUUUAUUUGAUGAGGACGUGGCAUGUUUUGGGAAGUCAGCUCUGGGAAGUCACACUGGGCUGCUCCACUAAGCCAUCCCAUUUCCUUCCCUGGGGUCCAGCCAGGCGAGUGCCCUCGAUGGCUCUGUGCACACAGAGGGUGCCCUGACUUAGAGACACAUUUGCGUGUCCCCCGUGUCUGAGACACGGGCGGUGUUCCGAAUCCACUUGCUGAGCAUCCCCGGGUGCUGGGCAGAGGCCCUCGGGCUCUCUCCCUCUCUGUCUGCCUCAGACAAGGUGGAGCUCUGCCCUCCUGGCUCCGGAAAGACACCUCAUAUUCCCCAACCCACGUCUGUGCCUCUACCCGGGAACUGCCCCCUUCAACAGCCUUUCUGUUCCGCAGUUACUCACACGGAUUCCUGUGCUGGGUGAACGACAAUGGGCCACAACCCACCUAGUGCUUCCCGGGAGGAGCUGGCAGAGGGGCUCUGAGUCACCUGCAGGUCAGUUCACAGGAGGCUCAGCUCUUCCUACUCUGCUCAGGCCCCUCCUGGGAAGUGCACUCAGACCCCACGCCACUUCCUGGCUCUCUUCGGGGCAGAGGGGCCAGAGCACAUGGGGACUAACGGGGUUUAAAGCUCUGGCUCUGCAGUCAGACGGAUACAGGAUACUGAUGGCUACGGGCAGGGCCCGACUCUGUGCUUCCAGCGGCUGCGUGGCCUUGGCCUUGUUACUCACAGCGCUGAGACUCCUGAGGACAGAGGGAGCGAGGAGUCCGCUUUAAAGGGCUUUGGCUCUGCAGAAGUGGGAGGUGACCAGAUGGCCCAGGAGCCUCUGGGAAUGUUCUCAAUGCCUGCCUCCAAGUC
rnacentral:lncRNA from 1 species